CAGCCGCCGCGGUAACACCAGCCCCCCGAGUGGUGGGGAUGCUUAUUUGGCCUAAAGCGUCCGUAGCCGGCUCUGUAAAUCUCUCGUUAAAUCCAGCGUCCUAAGCGUUGGGCUGCGAGAGACACUGCCGAGCUAGAGGGUGGGAGAGGUCAGCGGUAUUUCUGGGGUAGGGGCGAAAUCCAUUGAUCCCAGGAGGACCACCAGUGGCGAAGGCUGCUGACUUGAACACGCCUGACGGUGAGGGACGAAAGCUGGGGUAGCGAAUCGGAUUAGAUACCCGAGUAGUCCCAGCCGUAAACGAUGCAGGCUAGGUGUUGGGUUGGCCACGCGCCGACUCAGUGCCACAGGGAAGCCAUUAAGCCUGCCACCUGGGGAGUGCGGCCGCAAGGCUGAAACUUAAAGGAAUUGGCGGGGGAGCAC
rnacentral:rRNA from 2 species